GUAACUUCGGGAAACCGGAGCUAAUACCGGAUAAUAUAUUGAACCGCAUGGUUCAAUAGUGAAAGACGGUUUUGCUGUCACUUAUAGAUGGAUCCGCGCCGCAUUAGCUAGUUGGUAAGGUAACGGCUUACCAAGGCGACGAUGCGUAGCCGACCUGAGAGGGUGAUCGGCCACACUGGAACUGAGACACGGUCCAG
rnacentral:rRNA from 1 species